rnacentral:lncRNA from 1 species
AUGCGAUGAAGAUGAUGAUGAUUGUGAGGAGGAAAAAAAGAAAAAGAAGAGGGAAACUAAAUCUAAAUUAAAGAAACGUAACGAUGACGAAGAAGACGAAGAAUGCGAAGAAGAUGACGAAGAUUGCGAAGUUGAAGUAGAUGUAGAAGAAUGCAAUGAAGAUGACGAUGAUUGCGAAAAUGGAGGAGAAACAGAAGAAUGCGAUGAAGAAGAUGAUGAUUGCUAUGAUGAAGAUAAGAAAAAAAAAAAGGAAAACAAAC